rnacentral:lncRNA from 1 species
GAUUUUUAAUAUUUAGGACCAGUUAUCAAAUUGGUCCACAUUGAGGUCUAAUGGGUCCAAAAUUGAACUUUAUUUGAUUUCAUCAAAAGUUGAAUUCUUGGAUUUAGAUUUUGGAUAUUGGAAUACCACAAAGGGAUGGUAAGAAUUGUCUUUGGAAGUUAUGAUGGCUCAAACGGUUAAGGAAUAAGGUGCAAAAAAGGGGGG